rnacentral:rRNA from 1 species
UACGUAGGUGGCAAGCGUUAUCCGGAUUUAUUGGGCGUAAAGCGCGCGUAGGUGGUUCUUCAAGUCAGAUGUUAAAUCUCUCGGCUUAACUGGGAGCGGUCAUCUGAUACUGCUGGACUUGAGGGCGGUAGAGGGAGGUGGAAUUCCCGGUGUAGUGGUGAAAUGCGUAGAUAUCGGGAGGAACACCAGUGGCGAAAGCGGCCUCCUAGGCCGUUCCUGACACUGAGGCGCGAAAGCGUGGGGAGCGAAC